AUGGCGAUUUUCGCAAGUGUACGAAAUCGUGCAAGUAAUAUAUUUAAAACGGUAAGACCGAGUGUCGAACUCAAGGAUCACGCUAUACUGUUGAAUUGUGAUUUUUACUCGAUUGAACAAAAGGUUUCAGUUUGAUUGGUUGCAAUAACAAUAAUAAUAAUAACAACGAAAAUUACUUUGUAUUUGAUAAUAAUAAAAAUGUCAGGGAUGAGUUUCACUAGACUACUAUUUUAAUGUAGUGACUUGAUUAUGACUAUUGAAGCUAUUUAUCAAAUUAUUACCGAAUUUCCUAAAGUAUUCGUGCCCUAAUUCCUUAGUGACAGAGUCGUUAAUUCUAAAAUAAUUCCUAAUUCCUUAGUGAAUUUAAGAUUAGAAUUAAGCAUGAAUGAACAAGAAUUCUAAAUUGGUUUCAAGGGUUUNNNNNNNNNNNNNNNNNNNNNNNNNNNNNNNNNNNNNNNNNNNNNCUUCAAUAGUCAUAAAUCAAAUCAUAUAAUAAAAAUUGUCAUCUAGGUUUACUCAUCCCUAACAAUUGGAAAAUUAGCUACUCAUAAUAUUAAUUAGAGAUAAUAGAGAAUAAAGAAUUACACAUAAAAUUAUGAUUGAAUGCGUAGAGAGCCACUUGAAUCACCAAAGUCGUACAGUGUUGCGUGACUUUCUUUUCUUUUAUAGUGCAUUAGAUUAGAUGGUAAAACCUAUUUCCUCCACGUUUCUUGGGCCAACAAGUAAGGCCUGCUUAUAUUCUCCUCACAUGUAGUGAUUUUAUUUCUUUCAAAUGCUUAAGACUUAAGAGAAUUUUAUGCUCCUCUCACGUGUCACAAUUCACAAAGGCAUGGGCCAGCAAAAGGCAUGUAAUUUUCUUCUCAUGAUCCAUAUUUGCACACUUCCACUAUUAAGGCAAUAUAUCAAUAAUUUCCAUGCAACUUUAGCGGUAGUCUUCCGCCAACUGAUCAACCUAUUUAACUGAAUCAAUCAAAUAAGACAAAAACUAGUCGAAAUGGCUGAUUAGUAAAGAAAUUAGAAGCAUAAAAACUCAAUUGACUUAUGAACUUAAAAACCACAAUUUAUUCAAACUUACUCUAAAUUAAAUAUCAAAGUAAUAAAAAUAAAUUAAAACUUAACUAAAAUGGCUCUAAAAACUACAUUUGACGAGAGGUC
rnacentral:lncRNA from 1 species